GACGAACGCUGGCGGCGCGCCUAACACAUGCAAGUCGAACGGAGCUUAUAUUUCAGAAGUUUUCGGAUGGACGAGAGAUAAGCUUAGUGGCGGACGGGUGAGUAACACGUGAGCAACCUGCCUUUCAGAGGGGGAUAACAGUUGGAAACGACUGCUAAUACCGCGUAACGCUGCGAUGGGGCAUCCCGAUGCAGCCAAAGGAGCAAUCCGCUGAAAGAUGGGCUCGCGGCCGAUUAGCUAGUAGGCGGGGUAACGGCCCACCUAACCGACGAUGCGUAGGGGUUCUGAGAGGAAGGUCCCCCACACUGGUACUGAGACACGGACCAGACUCCUACGGGAGGCAGCAGUGAGGAAUAUUGGUCAAUGGUCGGGAGACUGAACCAGCCAAGCCGCGUGAGGGAUGAAGGUACAGAGUAUCGUAAACCUCUUUUGUCAGGGAACAAAGGCGGGGACGCGUCCCCGGAUGAGUGUACCUGAAGAAAAAGCAUCGGCUAACUCCGUGCCAGCAGCCGCGGUAAUACGGAGGAUGCGAGCGUUAUCCGGAUUUAUUGGGUUUAAAGGGUGCGCAGGCGGUCUGUUAAGUCAGCGGUCAAAGCCCGGGGCUCAACCCCGGCCCGCCGUUGAAACUGGCAGUCUCGAGUUGGAGAGAAGUAUGCGGAAUGCGCGGUGUAGCGGUGAAAUGCAUAGAUAUCGCGCAGAACUCCGAUUGCGAAGGCAGCAUGCCGGCUCCACACUGACGCUGAGGCACGAAAGCGUGGGUAUCGAACAGGAUUAGAUACCCUGGUAGUCCACGCAGUAAACUAUGAAUGCUGGCUGUCCGGGGGGACUGACCCCUGGGUGGCGAAGCGAAAGCGAUAAGCAUUCCACCUGGGGAGUACGCCGGCAACGGUGAAACUCAAAGGAAUUGACGGGGGCCCGCACAAGCGGAGGAACAUGUGGUUUAAUUCGAUGAUACGCGAGGAACCUUACCCGGGCUCAAACGGGGAGCGGCGCAGGCAGAGACGCCUGUUUCCCACGGGACACUCCCCGAGGUGCUGCAUGGUUGUCGUCAGCUCGUGCCGUGAGGUGUCGGCUUAAGUGCCAUAACGAGCGCAACCCCCGCGUGCAGUUGCUAACAGUCAACGCUGAGGACUCUGCACGGACUGCCGGCGCAAGCCGCGAGGAAGGCGGGGAUGACGUCAAAUCAGCACGGCCCUUACGUCCGGGGCGACACACGUGUUACAAUGGGUGGUACAGCGGGAAGCCAGGCGGCGACGCCGAGCGGAACCCGAAAUCCACUCUCAGUUCGGAUCGGAGUCUGCAACCCGACUCCGUGAAGCUGGAUUCGCUAGUAAUCGCGCAUCAGCCAUGGCGCGGUGAAUACGUUCCCGGGCCUUGUACACACCGCCCGUCAAGCCAUGGGAGCCGAGGGCGCUUGAAGUGCGUCGCCGUGAGGCGCGCCCUAGAGCGAAAUCGGUGACUGGGGCU
rnacentral:rRNA from 1 species